rnacentral:rRNA from 1 species
CCUACGGGUGGCUGCAGUGAGGAAUAUUGGUCAAUGGCCGGAAGGCUGAACCAGCCAUGCCGCGUGAAGGUCAGUGCCCUAUGGGCGUUAAACCUCUUUUGUGCGGGAGCAAUAAUGGUCACGUGUGGCCAGACGAGAGUACCGUACGAAUAAGCAUCGGCUAAAUCCGUGCCAGCAGCCGCGGUAAUACGGGGGGUGCAAGGGUUUUCCGGGUUUUUUGGGGUUAAAGGGUGCGUAGGGUGUGAGGUAAAGCAGCGGUGAAAUGCCCCCGGUCAACGGGGUGAAGUGCCAUUGAUACUGGCUUGCUGGAAUGCGGAUGCCGUGGGGGGAAUGUGUGGUGUAGCGGUGAAAUGCAUAGAUAUCAUGCAGAACAUCGAUUGCGAAGGCAUCUCACGAAUCCGCGAUUGACGCUGAUGCACGAAAGCGUGGGUAUCAAACAGGAUUAGAUACCCCAGUAGUC